AGAAGAAGAAGAAGAAUUAAACAUACCCCAGGCACCAGGAGAACGUACCCUGGGAUAUCUAAUCGCCUUUGGGUCCCGGGAAGGCUUCUCAGCAGAAAGGAUGACCCGGUUAAGAUCCAAGGGGUUAAGUAGGAAGCAGCUAAAGGAGAAAGGGGAGGUAUGGGGAAGAGCAGUCCAGGCAGAGGGAACAGCAUGGUUGAAGGUCUGGAGGCGGGAGGGAGCACAGCUCACGAGUUGCUGGCUGAGGCAGCAGGAGGAUGGUUGGCAAGGGAGGGCUGAGUCAAGGUGACUCUACAGAGGACAGCCGAGCCAGGCUCGUGGGCUGAGGACAAGACUCCAGCUUCUUCCUCCCUUUGGGUGAGGCGUUGCUUAGUCGCGAUCAGCAGGAAGCGAUGUGGUCAGACUUGUACUGGCAUCAUGAGUGCAAAAGCCUCCAGUUUGGGAGCGUUCAGGUGUACGUGACCACGAGGGGAGGACGAAUUCACCUCAGCCGCGGCUGAAGUUUAAACUGAUGUGUUUCCAAUCUACUACGGGUUGACCUUCACGUCGUUCCGUAACGUAUUUCACUUAACAGACGCCAGUGUUGCGUCACCACGCGUCAGGUGCCGUUCUACGUGCUUCUUGCUUCGGAAACAUCCGCUCGCUCCGUCCUCACCGUGACCUUGUGACUUCAGCGCCGUGAUUAUUAUCCUGUUUGAAAGAAGAGGCGACCGGGGCGGGGCGUUCACGCCUGGAUGGCAGAAGGCAGCACCAGACGGCUCCAGAAGUUUCCAUUGCCCGGUGUCUGGGCUAGGUUUCUGCCACUUGUAACCCAAAGAAUCUUAAUUAAUGGCGAUAGUUAUUUCAACUGAGCGUAUAAUUUCGCCCGAGGUCUCUGGAAAGCCAAAGCAAAAAGUGAACCACACAACUCUCGUGCUCUGACAUCACAAACCCCAAUGCACCAUGAAAGAGCGCCUUUCCUCAAGGGCUCGGGCCGUUUUCUCAUGGUCUUUCGCACUGGUGGCCCGGAGCGACAUCUUCCACAGCUGUUUUGGAAAUGACGCAGAAACAUUCCUCAUGUGGCAGGCUGCCUCUUGGACUGAACCUUGACAAAAGACCAGCAACAGAAACCAAGCGUCAGUCAGCGUGCGUGAGGACCUCCUACGUCUUUACCCAGAGAGGCAAACGGGCCACGGGGCUUGGGGUCUGGCCAUUAAUUGCCCCUGGCCCCUCUCUAUGGCCUCCUCAGGAGCACCUCCAAGUGCCGCUCUGAAGUUCGACUAACCCGUCAUCUCUUUGGUUGGAAGGUUGGUGUUUCCUUGCGAGACCACAAAGCCAUAUUACAUUCAAAGUUAAAUAAACAAACGUUCGAGUCUGUG